rnacentral:rRNA from 1 species
AGCUACAGGCUUAACACAUGCAAGUCGAGGGGCAGCAUGGUCUUAGCUUGCUAAGGCCGAUGGCGACCGGCGCACGGGUGAGUAACACGUAUCCAACCUGCCGUCUACUCUUGGACAGCCUUCUGAAAGGAAGAUUAAUACAAGAUGGCAUCAUGAGUCCGCAUGUUCACAUGAUUAAAGGUAUUCCGGUAGACGAUGGGGAUGCGUUCCAUUAGAUAGUAGGCGGGGUAACGGCCCACCUAGUCUUCGAUGGAUAGGGGUUCUGAGAGGAAGGUCCCCCACAUUGGAACUGAGACACGGUCCAAACUCCUACGGGAGGCAGCAGUGAGGAAUAUUGGUCAAUGGGCGAGAGCCUGAACCAGCCAAGUAGCGUGAAGGAUGACUGCCCUAUGGGUUGUAAACUUCUUUUAUAAAGGAAUAAAGUCGGGUAUGCAUACCCGUUUGCAUGUACUUUAUGAAUAAGGAUCGGCUAACUCCGUGCCAGCAGCCGCGGUAAUACGGAGGAUCCGAGCGUUAUCCGGAUUUAUUGGGUUUAAAGGGAGCGUAGAUGGAUGUUUAAGUCAGUUGUGAAAGUUUGCGGCUCAACCGUAAAAUUGCAGUUGAUACUGGAUAUCUUGAGUGCAGUUGAGGCAGGCGGAAUUCGUGGUGUAGCGGUGAAAUGCUUAGAUAUCACGAAGAACUCCGAUUGCGAAGGCAGCCUGCUAAGCUGCAACUGACAUUGAGGCUCGAAAGUGUGGGUAUCAAACAGGAUUAGAUACCCUGGUAGUCCACACGGUAAACGAUGAAUACUCGCUGUUUGCGAUAUACAGCAAGCGGCCAAGCGAAAGCGUUAAGUAUUCCACCUGGGGAGUACGCCGGCAACGGUGAAACUCAAAGGAAUUGACGGGGGCCCGCACAAGCGGAGGAACAUGUGGUUUAAUUCGAUGAUACGCGAGGAACCUUACCCGGGCUUAAAUUGCAGAUGAAUUACGGUGAAAGCCGUAAGCCGCAAGGCAUCUGUGAAGGUGCUGCAUGGUUGUCGUCAGCUCGUGCCGUGAGGUGUCGGCUUAAGUGCCAUAACGAGCGCAACCCUUGUUGUCAGUUACUAACAGGUUCCGCUGAGGACUCUGACAAGACUGCCAUCGUAAGAUGUGAGGAAGGUGGGGAUGACGUCAAAUCAGCACGGCCCUUACGUCCGGGGCUACACACGUGUUACAAUGGGGGGUACAGAGGGCCGCUACCACGCGAGUGGAUGCCAAUCCCAAAAACCUCUCUCAGUUCGGACUGGAGUCUGCAACCCGACUCCACGAAGCUGGAUUCGCUAGUAAUCGCGCAUCAGCCACGGCGCGGUGAAUACGUUCCCGGGCCUUGUACACACCGCCCGUCAAGCCAUGGGAGCCGGGGGUACCUGAAGUGCGUAACCGCGAGGAGCGCCCUAGGGUAAAACUGGUGACUGGGGCUAAGUCAUAACA